rnacentral:rRNA from 1 species
CCUACGGGGGGCAGCAGUGGGGGAUAUUGCACAAUGGGGGGAACCCUGAUGCAGCGACGCCGCGUGGGUGAAGGAGUGCUUCGGCAUGUAAAGCCCUAUCGGCAGGGAAGAAGCAAGACGGUACCUGACUAAGAAGCCCCGGCUAACUACGUGUCAGCAGCCGCGGUAAUACGUAGGGGGCGAGCGUUAUCCGGAUUCACUGGGUGUAAAGGGAGCGUAGACGGCCAUGCAAGCCAGGGGUGAAAGCCCGGGGCCCAACCCCGGGACUGCCCUUGGAACUGUGCGGCUAGAGUGCGGGAGGGGCAGGCGGAAUUCCUGGUGUAGCGGUGAAAUGCGUAGAUAUCAGGAGGAACACCGGCGGAGAAGGCGGCCUGCUGGACUGCGACUGACGUUGAGGCUCGAAAGCGUGGGGAGCGAACAGGAUUAGAUACCCGUGUAGUC